CCUACGGGGCGCAGCAGUGAGGAAUAUUGGUCAAUGGACGAGAGUCUGAACCAGCCAAGUAGCGUGAAGGAUGACUGCCCUAUGGGUUGUAAACUUCUUUUAUAUGGGAAUAAAAUGUUCCACGUGUGGGAUUUUGUAUGUACCAUAUGAAUAAGGAUCGGCUAACUCCGUGCCAGCAGCCGCGGUAAUACGGAGGAUCCGAGCGUUAUCCGGAUUUAUUGGGUUUAAAGGGAGCGUAGGUGGAUUGUUAAGUCAGUUGUGAAAGUUUGCGGCUCAACCGUAAAAUUGCAGUUGAAACUGGCAGUCUUGAGUACAGUAUAGGUGGGCGGAAUUCGUGGUGUAGCGGUGAAAUGCUUAGAUAUCACGAAGAACUCCGAUUGCGAAGGCAGUUCACUGGACUGCAACUGACACUGAGGCUCGAAAGUGUGGGUAUCAAACAGGAUUAGAUACCCGUGUAGUC
rnacentral:rRNA from 1 species